CGAAUCUUGCAGCAAUGACACAUACGAAGACAAACUACUUAGUUGAGAAUAGUAGUAUGUUAAUAAUUGGAUUAGUCCCAAAAAUGGCCGGGCCAUAGAUAAUAAAAGAUAUGUGUUCAACAACUAUUUGCAACAUGCUCUACAAAUUGAUCUCGACGAUAGUCACUGAUACGCCAAAAACUGCUCUGCUUGAUAUAAUUUAUUUGAACCAAAGUAACUUCACACCUCGUCGCAUGAUCUAUGAUAAUAUCCUCCCUGCAUAUGAGAUGUCAAAAAAUCAUGGAGAAUGAGGAAUGAAAGAACAAAAUAUCUUUUCAUCAAAUUGUAAGUGAAGCCUAUGAUCAUGUGGAAUUAUCCUUCUUUACUAAUCAUGUUGUGGAUGGCCUUCAAUGAAGAUGGGUCAAAGUAGUGAUAAAUUGUGUUGCUGUAGUUCGAUAUCAAUGAAGAUAAAUAAUGAUGCAGUUCUAGUUGAGCAAGGUCUAAGCUAAGCUGACCCUGUGACCUUUUCUCCUUGUAUCUUUGUUACAAAAAAUUAGAAAUUUCUUUGUCACCCUCAUGUUGGUUACCACAUCAUUGCCGAUGAAUGUCAACGAAUAAAUUAGGCCUACCGCAUCAUAACAUAUUCACCCAUGGAGAAGGCCGUUGCGGCAGAAACUUGGGCCUAGUAUAUCCGUCGACAUUCACCAGCACUAAUGCGCCAACCACCACAAGGUUGAAGAGGAACACCAUGACGAUGAUAGUCAUGCUUUGCACUGUUUGUAGGGAAACAAUCUUGAGUAGUUUGGCGAUUGUGAAGAAAAUAUAUGUUGUCGAUGAUGC
rnacentral:lncRNA from 1 species